CAAAUGGAUGUAGUAGUUUGUAAGAUUUCUUGGAUGCAGUCUGAAGACGAUGAAGUGAUAAAAGAUAUUCGUCCUGAGCUCAAAGAUAGCUGCACUACAUUUGCUAUACAAGUUAUGACAGAAGUUUAGACUUGACUUGUCAAAUGAUAAACAGCACAUCGAAAAAGAAGUUGGACAAAAAGUGGGAUUAAUGCAUUAAAGAAACAAUUAAAGCUGCAGUGAGUGAGAACCAUUUACAGGAGAAUAACAAACUUGUCUAUAUGAUAUUUGCAACAAUAAAAAUU